GGCAUUCCUAACACGGAAUCCUCUCGAGAUACGAUUAGCUCUAUAAUAGUCAGAUAUAAAUAUACCGUGAAGAUCCAGGUCAACCUCUCUUUUUUUUUUUAAGUUUUAGCAGGUCAUUAUAUAGAUCAUUAGCUGUAUUAGUAUGGGUAAGAUCUUGUGUGGUACGUGGCCACAGUAAGGAUUCUGCAUGCUCCUCUGUGAUAGAUAGUGUCA